rnacentral:piRNA from 1 species
UCAGUUUUUUAAACUCGUUUU